UAAAGUUGUUGCAGUUAAAAAGCUCGUAGUUGAAUUUCGGGCUUAGUAGGUUGGUCGUGCCUCUGGUAUGUACUGGCUUUACUGGUUCCUCCUUCUUGAAGAACUGUAAUGUCAUUAAUUUGGUGUUGCAGGGAAACAGGACUGUUACUUUGAAAAAAUUAGAGUGUUUAAAGCAGGCUAACGCUUGAAUACAUUAGCAUGGAAUAAUGAAAUAGNACGUUUGAUCAUAUUUUGUUGGUUUCUAGGAUUGACGUAAUGAUUAAUAGGG
rnacentral:rRNA from 1 species